GAUGAACGCUGGCGGCGUGCCUAAUACAUGCAAGUCGAGCGAACAGACGAGGAGCUUGCUCCUCUGACGUUAGCGGCGGACGGGUGAGUAACACGUGGAUAACCUACCUAUAAUACUGGGAUAACUUCGGGAAACCGGAGCUAAUACCGGAUAAUAUAUUGAACCGCAUGGUUCAAUAGUGAAAGACGGCUUUGCUGUCACUUAUAGAUGGAUCCGCGCCGCAUUAGCUAGUUGGUAAGGUAACGGCUUACCAAGGCGACGAUGCGUAGCCGACCUGAGAGGGUGAUCGGCCACACUGGAACUGAGACACGGUCCAGACUCCUACGGGAGGCAGCAGUAGGGAAUCUUCCGCAAUGGGCGAAAGCUUGACGGAGCAACGCCGCGUGAGUGAUGAAGGUCUUCGGAUCGUAAAACUCUGUUAUUAGGGAAGAACAAAUGUGUAAGUAACUAUGCACGUCUUGACGGUACCUAAUCAGAAAGCCACGGCUAACUACGUG
rnacentral:rRNA from 1 species